CAGUGGCGACAUCUGCAACUACAUGACUGUGUAAGGCCUGUUCGUUAUAUGAAAUUCAAAUAGAACGUGUAGAAUGGUAAUUUGAAUGCUGUACAUUAAAAGUUCUAUUUAAGUGUAUUGUGAACGUUUAUUGAGAAGCAUAAGAUAUCAUGCGGCAAAACUCAUUAGGACGUAAGUUGUCCUUAAAUCCAGUGAGAGUUUCUUCUUUUGACAAAGAAGAUAGAGAUCCUACACGAAAUGAUGCUAGAAAGCCAUCACUGGCAAAAUCUAGAGCUUCUUCAACUUCUGGAGACUCUUCACACAUUCCUAGACCACGAAUAAGAUCCAUUGGUCCAUCCAUUGAUGGACCUUCAAGAAAAUCUAAUUUAAAAUUGCCAGGUAAAGUUUCUAUAAGCCAUUAUGGAUCUGCAACUCCAAAAACUCCUUUAGCUACUUCUAAUCGAACAACAUUGGCUUUGCCAUUGGGCAGUACAGUACGGGGACGCUCUCCAUCAGCUGAAAGGGCCAGCGCACUAGGGGUAAAAGGAAGCAGGAAAGAUACAAGACCUUUAUCAGACAAAGGCUAUCAAAUGGAAAUGCUACGCAGAAUUGAUGAAUACAUGCGGAAUAUUGAACAGUCUUGUCUACUUAAUCCUAGUGGAAGUCUAAAGCCUAUUAGUUUAAAGAUGUUUGUUGAUGUUGCAGCAAUCCUGUUCAAACUUUUAGAUGUGAAACCUAUCCUCACUAUGAGUAAUUACAUAGUGGAAUUGCCGAACAUAAGCAAGAAGGUUCAUUAUCCUGGCAUAGUUAACAAAUCCUGGUUAAAAACAGCUAAUACUAUGCACUCGUGGCCUCAUGUUCUUGGUUUACUUUCCUGGCUAGUUGAGUUAUGCGAUGUGAUGGACAUAGCCACCUACAGUUUCCAAGUGAAGAACUUACCAUACCAUGGAGCAACAGCAACGGAUUCCUUAUUUAAUAGAAGUACCUUUGAAUCUAUGUUGAAUUGUUACACAGCUUGGAACGAAGACAAACUGGAUGAAGAAGAAAAACUACUCAAAGAGCAUUUCCAAGAAUUAGCCAACCAGAUAGGUGUCGACAACGAAAAUAUUCUGGCAGCACAAAAUGAACUUAAAGUUGAACAAAAAAAAUUAACAGAAGCCCAAAACAAUAACAGAAGUGCUAAUAAAUGUACUGAAGAGUUAGAAGAUACUUUAGCAUCUUUGCAGGCUGAUGAACUAAAAGUAUUAGAGGACAUCAGAGCUAAGGAAGAAUACAUAAACGAAAGCAAAAGAGAUUUUCAACAAAUGAAGUCAGAAAUUGUAAUUUUACAAAAUGACAUUCAGAAACACGAAGCUCGUAAACGCGAAUUAGAAAAAUUAAUAGCAGACCAGCCAAUGUCUGCCGCGGAACGCGAUGAUAUUGUCGAGAGGUGUAGUGUAAGUCAAAAUUAUUUGCACCAGGUCGACGACCUAUUAAUGGACUUGGAAAAGACUAUUUACUCACUGGACAUCAAACUAGCAUCCACAAGAAACAACCUGAACAAAGUUAUCCUGGCUUAUAAUAAGGACAUUGUUCUAAAUUUCAAUGCCAGCAUUGACAUCAAUAUAAAUGAUUUAAUGAUGCCUGAGAAGGAAAUAUCGAGUUCAUUAAUUUUUGAGGUUCUCAAUGAAAAAAAAAGUUUUGCCGAUCGUUUCAAGGAGCAAUUGCACCAAAAAUUACUCCUAACAGAAAAUUCAAUAGAGCAGCAGAGCGAGCAUUACGAGGCUCUGCAGGAAAAACUGAAAAAUUUAGAAACGGAGCAUCAGGAUGUAGUUGAGAAUCUAAAGGAAAAAAAACUCCAGAUUAAAAAUAUCAAAAAACAGUACAAGGAAGAGGAAGCAUUUUUAAGAAAACAGAUAAAGGACCUACAGGAUAAUAUUAAGUUACUGCAAGAACCUUUUGCAGACCUUGAAAGUUAUACAAAGGAUCUAGAGGAAUCCAGAGAGAAACUGGAUGCUUUGGAAAGACGUAAAGCUUUUCUUGAGAGACAGGCCAGCCGAUUUUUCACAGAAUUCUUUCAAAUAAUCGCAGAACACAGAAACGAAGUAGCUCUCAUUUUGAAAAGACUGCAGCAGGGAUGUUAAAGAUUAUUCAUUUUUAAAAAAUCAUGAAAGAUAUAAGUACCAAGUAGUAUCUGUGCCUAUUAUUGUAAAAUAGACUAUGUGAAAUUGCGAACGAAAGAGGAGUAAACAAUGGCUGAGUAAGAAAGUA